GUGCCUACUGAGCUGAUAACAGUUGAUGUAGCCUGCACUGGCUCAGUUCAGCAGGAACAG
rnacentral:pre_miRNA from 1 species